rnacentral:rRNA from 1 species
UGAUCCUGCCAGUAGUCAUAUGCUUGUCUCAAAGAUUAAGCCAUGCAUGUGUAAGUAUAAGCAACUAUACUGCGAAACUGCGAAUGGCUCAUUAAAUCAGUUAUCGUUCAUUUGAUAGUACCUUACUACAUGGAUACCUGUAGUAAUUCCAGAGCUAACACACGCACAAAACCCCGACUUCUGGAAGGGGUGCAUUUGUUAGAUACAAAACCAAUACCUUCGGGUCUUGUGAUGAUUCAUAACAACUUUGCGAAUCGCAGAGGCCCUUGAGCCGGCGAUAAAUCAUUCAAAAUUUCUGCCCUAUCAACUUUCGAUGGUACGAUAGAGGCGUACACUAGUUUGUUCGGAAAC